rnacentral:lncRNA from 1 species
GACCAUUGUAUGGCCAUGGUCCGACUUGAGUAUAGUCUGGCCAUGGUCUGGGGCGUGUCUGACUAGUGUCCAGGUUAUGUGCGUGAGUGCGUGUGUCCGUUGGCGAAGAACUAGGGCGUGAGCACGUCGCUAGCACCGGUAGUUGCCGCGUCGUCCGCGUCCGAGCGCGGCGGGUGCGUGAGCCAAGGGGUGCGGGGCGUGGGUAGUGGACGAGUGGGCGCGGCGUAUGAGCGCGCGUAUAAGUCUCCCCGAACCCCUGUGUAUCGCUGUUUGGGUUGAGUUCGAGCUCAAAGAAAAAACGCCGUUGUUGCGGCAGGCGUUCGUGCACCAGGAAAACCACCACGUCCACUGCAGCUUCUUCUUCCUUCUUUCUUCUUUAGUGUGUGCUAGAGAGAGAGGAGUAGAGCUAGGGCCAGCUAGGGCAAGGGCUCGGCUCCAACAAUUGGCAUCAGAGCUUCGGUUCGAGAGGUAGCCUGCGGCCAUGGCGCUUGUUCCGCAUGGCGGUGGUGGUGGCAGUUUCUCGCUGCCGGUCCCGCCAUUGACGACGACGAACUACAUCUCCUGGGCGAUCAAGGUGGAGGCGGUCCUUGAUGCCCAGGGGUUGUGGUGUGUGGUGGCUCAGGCGGAUGGCACGGCGGUGGACGCCGGCAAGAGCAAGACGGCAAGGGCAUUGCUGCUCCGAGCGCUGUCGGAGGAGGUGCUGCUGCCGGUGUCGAUCAAGACCACCGCGAAGGAGGUAUGGGACUCCCUCAAGGUGCGCUUCGUCGGUGCUGAUCGGGUGCGGGCGGCCCGGCUCGCGUCGCUCCGCGGCGAGUUUGAUCGGCUGCGGAUGGCGAGGACUUGGACAGCUUCGCUGGGAAGCUCGGCGCCAUGACGGCACGAUACACAGGCCUGGGGGAGGUGCUCGACGACGCCGCACUUGUGAAGAAGCUGCUGGACUCGGUCCCUGACCGCUCGUACCCCGCCGUCGCCGGAAUAGAGCAAUUCUGCGACGUGGAUGACAUGGCGUUCGAGGAGGCCUUGGGGCGGCUCAAGGCGUUCGACGAACGGACCCAGCGUCGCGGGCAGGACGGUGGUAGGCGCGGCGGCGACGAGCUGCUGUACACUACGGCACAAUGGGCGGCGCGGCAGUGCAAGCAGGGUGGUGGCGGCUUCAACGACCACGACGAUGACGGCACGGCGAGCAUGGCGUCUGGUGGUGGCGGGAAGAGGCGAGGCCACUGCUACAACUGCAGGCAGCGCGGCCAUUUCAAGCGAGACUGCACAAGGCCGAGGAAGGCGGCGGCGGAGCGGGCUCUUCUGGCAGACAUCGACGUCGAGGGGACGGCACUCCUCUAAGCCGCAGCUUAGGGGGUGAAUGAUGGGCAAUAAGCCACGGCGACUACGUCCAGAUCGAGCGUGUGCGUGCGCGAGCUGGGUGUGUUGAGUGUAGUCUGUGUUCGCGUGAGUCAUAGACCGGGCAUAGUCUGACCAUUGUAUGGCCAUGGUCCGACUUGAGUAUAGUCUGGCCAUGGUCUGGGGCGUGUCUGACUAGUGUCCAGGUUGUGUGCGUGAGUGCGUGUGUCCGUUAGCGAAGAACCAGGGGGUGAGCACGUCGCUAGCACCGGUAGUGGCCGCGUCGUCCGCGUCCGAGCGCGGCGGGUGCGUGAGCCAGAGGGUGCGGGGCGUGGGUAGUGGAUGAGUGGGCGCGGCGUAUGAGCGCGCGUAUAAGUCUCCCCGAACCCCUGUGUAUCGCUGUGUGGGUUGAGUUCGAGCUCAAAGAAAAAACGCCGUUGUUGCGGCAGGCGUUCGUGCG